GCAGUCGAACGAAACUUUCUUACACCGAAUGCUUGCAUUCACCGUAAGAAGUUGAGUGGCGGACGGGUGAGUAACACGUGGGUAACCUGCCUAAAAGAAGGGGAUAACACUUGGAAACAGGUGCUAAUACCGUAUAUCUCUAAGGAUCGCAUGAUCCUUAGAUGAAAGAUGGUUCUGCUAUCGCUUUUAGAUGGACCCGCGGCGUAUUAACUAGUUGGUGGGGUAACGGCCUACCAAGGUGAUGAUACGUAGCCGAACUGAGAGGUUGAUCGGCCACAUUGGGACUGAGACACGGCCCAAACUCCUACGGGAGGCAGCAGUAGGGAAUCUUCCACAAUGGACGCAAGUCUGAUGGAGCAACGCCGCGUGAGUGAAGAAGGUCUUCGGAUCGUAAAACUCUGUUGUUAGAGAAGAACACGAGUGAGAGUAACUGUUCAUUCGAUGACGGUAUCUAACCAGCAAGUCACGGCUAACUACGUGCCAGCAGCCGCGGUAAUACGUAGGUGGCAAGCGUUGUCCGGAUUUAUUGGGCGUAAAGGGAACGCAGGCGGUCUUUUAAGUCUGAUGUGAAAGCCUUCGGCUUAACCGGAGUAGUGCAUUGGAAACUGGAAGACUUGAGUGCAGAAGAGGAGAGUGGAACUCCAUGUGUAGCGGUGA
rnacentral:rRNA from 2 species